GCCCUACGGGGGGCAGCAGUGGGGAACAUUGCACAAUGGGGGAAACCCUGAUGCAGCGACGCCGCGUGAGUGAAGAAGUAUCUCGGUACGUAAAGCUCUAUCAGCAGGGAAGAAAAAAAGUCUUUGGCUUUGGAUGGUACCUGACUAAGAAGCCCCGGCUAACUACGUGCCAGCAGCCGCGGUAAUACGUAGGGGGCAAGCGUUAUCCGGAUUUACUGGGUGUACAGGGAGCGCAGACGGCAAGGCAAGACUGAUGUGAAAGUCCGAGGCUCAACCUCGGGCCUGCAUUGGAAACUGUCUGGCUA
rnacentral:rRNA from 1 species